rnacentral:rRNA from 1 species
AGAGUUUGAUCAUGGCUCAGGAUGAACGCUAGCGGCAGGCCUAAUACAUGCAAGUCGAACGGGCUUAUUCCGCAAGGGAUAGGUUAGUGGCGCACGGGUGCGUAACACGUAGGUAACCUACCUGAUACUGGGGCAAAACGAUGGGAAACCAUCGCUAAUUCCGCAUAAGACGGCAGCUUGGCAUCAGGCAACCGUUAAAGAUUAAUUGGUAUCAGAUGGGCCUGCGGCUGAUUAGCUAGUUGGUGGUGUAAUGGACCACCAAGGCUGUGAUCAGUAGGGGUUCUGAGAGGAAGAUCCCCCACACUGGCACUGAGAUACGGGCCAGACUCCUACGGGAGGCAGCAGUAGGGAAUAUUGGGCAAUGGCGGAAACGCUGACCCAGCCAUGCCGCGUGCAGGAAGAAGGCGCUCAGCGUUGUAAACUGCUUUUGCCGGGGAAGAAUGGGGGUUACGUGUAACCUCAUCGACGGUACCCGGUGAAUAAGCACCGGCUAACUCCGUGCCAGCAGCCGCGGUAAUACGGAGGGUGCAAGCGUUGUCCGGAUUUAUUGGGUUUAAAGGGUGCGUAGGUGGCUCAUUAAGUCCGGGGUGAAAGGCAGUGGCUCAACCACUCGCAGGGCCCCGGAUACUGAUGGGCUCGAGUGUAGGUGAGGCCGGUGGAACGGGUGGUGUAGCGGUGAAAUGCAUAGAUACCAUCCAGAACACCGAUUGCGGAGGCAGCCGGCUAACCUACUACUGACACUGAGGCACGAAAGCGUGGGGAGCAAACAGGAUUAGAUACCCCCGUAGUCC